UACGGGGGGGGGCAAGCGUUGUUCGGAAUUACUGGGCGUAAAGGGCGCGUAGGCGGCCCUCUAAGUCAGACGUGAAAUCCCUCGGCUCAACCGGGGAACUGCGUCUGAUACUGGAGGGCUUGAAUCCGGGAGAGGGAUGUGGAAUUCCAGGUGUAGCGGUGAAAUGCGUAGAUAUCUGGAGGAACACCGGUGGCGAAGGCGGCAUCCUGGACCGGGUAUUGACGCUGAGGCGCGAAAGCUAGGGGAGCAAACGGGGAUU
rnacentral:rRNA from 1 species